rnacentral:tRNA from 1 species
GGAAAGGUAAGUUAAUUUAAACCUGUUUGGUUCAUGUUCAAAAAAUAUAAUUGUUUAUCCUUUCUU